rnacentral:tRNA from 244 species
CGGCGAUUAGCGCAGUUUGGUAGCGCACUUGGUUUGGGUCCAAGGGGUCGCAGGUUCAAAUCCUGCAUCGCCGACCA